GAGAGGAAGUAGGAAAACAGAUUUAAACCAAGUUUGAACCGUUAAACCCCGUUUGCCAGUACGGUGUAAAACGUCGUUACCGCAGAGGUCUGAAUGCUAAAACAAACUCUGGAGCUGCUCUUUUCACGUUUAUGAAGAGGUUCGGAUGCUAAACAAACUCUGGAGUUGUUUUUUUGUCGAACAGCAGUGAGACUCGACGCUGAACACGCCUGCGGCGCGAAGGUUUACUGGUUCAGCCGCUGCAGCCUGGACAGAAACACCAGCUCUCACCUGACAAACCAAACAGGUGUCACCACUUUGUCCACGACAUCGUCCACGAUCGCAGAGACAUGGUCCAUGAUCGGAGAGACAUUGUUGAGGAUGAGGGAGACAUCGUCCACGAUCAGAGACGUUGUCCAUGAUCGCAGAGACCUUGUCAAAGAUGAGAGAGACGUUGUCCAUGAUCAGAGACAUUGUCCCAUGCUUCGUAGAGACCUUGCGAUAGAAUCGGCGGAGACGGGGGUCACCGAUUUGACGGCACUGCCCGCGAUCAUGGAGACAUUGUUGAUGGUCACAGAGACAGCGUCUAUGAUCUCAGAGACAUCGUCCACGAUCACAAAGACAUUGUCCAUGAUCACAGAGACUUUGUCCAUAAUCUCAGAGACAUUGUCCGCGAUCACAGAGACAUAGUCCACGAUCACAAAGAGUCUUUGUACAAUGAGGAAGUUCCUUGAGACCAGGACAGAGGCCUCCAGGUAAUUCACAAACAGCUUUACAUCAACUGUCCAACACAGAGCACUGACACUAAACUGUUUAUGUUCAGUAAUUGAUCUUCAGUCUGAAUAGUUUGAUUUGUCCCAAAAGACCUCAUUCAUUAUUAAUUUUUUUUUACAUAGUUCGUGAAUGUACAGGUCAAAGAAAAUGAAGAAUUUCAACAUCUCUCUCUCGUGCUUGCUCCUUCUCCCUCUCCUUUGCUCUGUUAAGCCUGGCUCACAUUAAAAGAUUUUUAAAAAUCUUAUCAGAGAAUGUGAGAGACCACACACUCGGCGACAGAGAUUUCAGUUUUGCUCACAAAUAGUUUGUGAUGUGACGAACACAGCACACCACACACUAAAAGAUUUACCACCAGUAACCAGAGUCUAGAGUCGACUCUCAGACCAAUUAUGUACCCAGGUUUACUCUCUAAUUCUUUCUGCCUCCUCCUCUCUCUCACUCACUCUCAUACUUUCUCUCUAUCUCAGUCUCCCCCCUCUCUCUCUCUCUCUCUCUUUCUCAAUAGUACAGUAAAUCAUAAAUAUGUGGAGAACUUAUUCAGUUUGGUUUCACACUAGAAACUCUUGCUUCAUUUUGGCUUCUAUCAAAUUUUAACUGACUUUGGAGAAAACAUUUCCAUCCACUGCUGUUGUGUGAACGUCAGGAGCUGGUGGAGUCACUUUUCCAGUCAGCGUGGCUUCUUCUGUCUUUGUGUAGAGAGCAAAUUCAACUCUUGGACUAGUUCUGAUUAGUCCAGAACCAGUUAGCCCACACUCUGGUUUCUUUGUAGAUUUAGUGGCUUUACUUCACUAUCUUUUGACAGUUGGAAAUUCAAUACCCAGAAACUCUCCGUGCUUUUAUUUUGAUGUGUUAACAGUCACAUCUUUAUAUUAAUGUUUGUUGUGUUUUUCUCCACAGGAUUCAAACGUCAGCCAUUAAAUCAGAGAGAAGAGGCAGAUGUGAAGACAUUUCCAGAAGGUCAGUGUUAGUUUAUUCUUUUCAGUCUGACUCUGUCAUUAUUUCAGCUGCAGUUUGACACUUUAAAACCUCUUGCCUGGAACAAAUUAAAGCUGCUUUAAUUAGCUGUUGUAAUUAGUAUUAAUUGGUAUUUUUCAACAAUGUAGCUGCAAAAAAGUUUUAAAAAUAUGGAAAACUAUAUGUACAGAAAAUAUAAAACCUUAGUUUAGAAUAGAAUAGAAACCCUUUUAGUAAAUAGUUUUAAUAGUAAGUAUUAAACUUUAAAAUAAUUUAAUAAAUUGAAAACCUUUAAAUAUUAAGUAUAAAACCAACCCUGAAAAAAUGUGUAAAAAAUAAAUGUAAAACCUUAAAUAAAUAGUUCUAAAAAGUAAGUAUGAAAUCAUUUAACAAUAAAUUUCAAACUGUAAAGGAAUAAUUCUAAAACAUAAGGAUAAAACUCAUAAAACAGGUUUGAUAAAUAAGGUUAAAGCCUUUUAAGUCUGCAAAGCAAACUCAGAGAUUUGUCUAUUAAAACAUUAUUUAUGUUAGAAAAUACUGGUUACACUGAGGCAGUAACUCACUUGUAGCCAUAAUAACACACUAGUUACAACAAAGUGAGUUUAUUAUCAGUGUAACAUCAUUAUACCUACUUUUAUAUACAUCAGUAAUAUGACUGCAUAAACACACUUGUUUCUUGACUCCUUAAAGACAGGUGUCACUAUACUGUGAUUUUUUAUUUUUUAUUAAUUUGAUGCCUUACUACUGAAGACAGGCCAUUUAAUCAACAAAAACAAAAAGCUUCAGUGGCCCAAACAUUUACAGAAUAGGAUGCUAACUGUCACUGUGGGUGCUUUAAGCACCUUCAGCGGACACGCCCCCAGUGUCUCAGAGCAGAGAGAGCUCCUUGUUUUUUAAAUGAUUUUGAAACCUAAUUUUAUAUAUUUGCAGAUGUUUUUUAACCAUUCAAAUUUAGCUGGGUGGCUAAUAGCACAUUUUUCUGUGGUGUGACUAACUCAGAACACCAUAGUAUAACUGCUUUACAUAGACAAAAGUGUAUAUAUCUAUAUCUAUGAAAGCUUUUAACAUAGGUCUAAGAAUUAAGUAUUAAACCCAUAAAAAGUUGAGUACAAAACCUUAACCAGUAAGUCUAAAAACAAGUAUAAAGCCUUUAAAUAUAUAGUGAAAACCUUUGAAAAUAUAUAUUUAAAAGUAAAACAUAAGUAUGAAACUUUUUGAAAACUAAUCAAAAAAUCCUUAACUAUAUCUGAGCAAUGAGUGCAAAACCUUUUAAAAGGAAAAAGCCUUAAAAAAAAGUAUAAAAAUUAAAACAUUAUGUUUUUUUCUUAAAAUGCAUUAAAAUGAUUUGUAUAAUUUUAGUUACAAAAUAGAGAAAUGCAAAAGUUUAGAAAGAUACACAGACAACACUUAACAUAUCACAGCAAAGAUAAUGACAGACAUUUGACCACAAGGAAACAUCUCUUAGAGCUGGUUAGAGUUAGGGCUAAUGUAGUUAUGAGCACAUCUUCCAAAGAAGAACAUCUUUGAGACUUUGGAAAAUGUGCCCAUGACUCCAUUACAGAUGGUAGAGGAAAAACAGUGUUUUCACGUGAUCGAGAUCUUUUCAUCUAAUUAACAGCUUUGUAACACUUGUUUUCUCUCAUCCACUUCAGGUCUUCAGCUGCUGUCGUCCUCUCCUUCUGCAGAGACGAAGGAAGACGAAGGAACUAUCUUAACUCGCUUUUCCACAGACUCACACCUCUACACAGUGUUGGUGGGUUAGGUUAGAUUUUCAUAUUAGUAUUUUGCAAAUUCAAACUGCAAUAUCACUACUCAAAUCCAAUGUAUUACUGUGUACAUUGUCCUAUUUAUACUGGCCAUAUUGUGUAUAGUUUUAUACGUUGUUACAUACGGUCUUGUAUAUAUAAUGCCCUUUUCUAUUUUUGCUGGUGCAAUACUGAAUUCCCCCGUUGUGGGACUGUGAUAAAGUAUCAUCUUACUCAAAUAAAUACUUGUGAAUACUGAAUAUUUUGCCGGUCUGUUUAAUGUCGUAUGCAAGUGAAUACUUUCAGCCAGAGGUUGAGGUAAGGGUUACGGUUUUUAGCAAAUGAUUUUGUAGUUUUUAGGUUAGUUAGGUUUAUGGUUUUCUGACGCCUUACUAUGACUUUUUUGACCGUUUUUGAUGC